UACGUAGGGGGCUAGCGUUGUCCGGAAUCAUUGGGCGUAAAGCGCGCGUAGGCGGCCCGGUAAGUCCGCUGUAAAAGUCAAAGGCUCAACCUUUGAAUGUCAGUGGAUACUGCCGGGCUAGAGUCCGGAAGAGGUGAGUGGAAUUCCUGGUGUAGCGGUGAAAUGCGCAGAUAUCAGGAGGAACACCGGUGGCGAAGGCGGGUCUCUGGGCCGAUACUGACGCUGAGACGCGAAAGCGUGGGGAGCGAACAGG
rnacentral:rRNA from 1 species